AGUGAACGCUGGCGGUAGGCCUAACACAUGCAAGUCGAACGGCGGCACAGUAAGAGCUUGCUCUUACGGGUGGCGAGUGGCGGACGGGUGAGGAAUACAUCGGAAUCUACUUUUUCGUGGGGGAUAACGUAGGGAAACUUACGCUAAUACCGCAUACGACCUACGGGUGAAAGCAGGGGAUCUUCGGACCUUGCGCGAUUGAAUGAGCCGAUGUCGGAUUAGCUAGUUGGCGGGGUAAAGGCCCACCAAGGCGACGAUCCGUAGCUGAUCUGAGAGGAUGAUCAGCCACACUGGAACUGAGACACGGUCCAGACUCCUACGGGAGGCAGCAGUGGGGAAUAUUGGACAAUGGGCGCAAGCCUGAUCCAGCCAUACCGCGUGAGUGAAGAAGGCCUUCGGGUUGUAAAGCCCUGUUGUUGGGAAAGAAAAGCAGCAGGUUAAUACCCCGCUGUUCUGACGGUACCCAAAGAAUAAGCACCGGCUAACUUCGUG
rnacentral:rRNA from 1 species